UCGAGAAUAAUUCGCAAUGGACGAAAGUCUGACGAUGCGACGCCGCGUGAACGAUGAAGGCCUUCGGGUUGUAACGUUCUGUUGUCCUGGAACAAGAGUCGCUGACGAAUAGUGAGCGACGAUGAGGGUACAGGAAGAGGAAGCACCGGCUAAUUCCGUGCCAGCAGCUGCGGUAAUACGGAAGGUGCAAGCGUUAGUCGGAGUUACUGGGCGUAAAGGGCGCGUAGGUGGAUAUUUAAGUCGGAUGUGAAAUCCCCGGGCUUAACCUGGGAAUUGCAUUCGAUACUGGAUAUCUCGAGUAUGGUAGAGGAAAGCGGAAUUCCCGGUGUAGCGGUGAAAUGCGUAGAUAUCGGGAAGAACAUCAGGGCGAAGGCGGCUUUCUGGACUGUAACUGACACUGAGGCACGAAAGCGUGGGGAGCAAACA
rnacentral:rRNA from 1 species